ACGUGAUAGGGGAUCUCGAGUGCCAGCAUAUAAUGUUGGCUGUCCAGAUGCCUAAAAAGCAUCUGUUAGCAAGGGCCGGGCAAGACCGGUGCCAGCCGCCGCGGUAACACCGGCGGCCCGAGUGGUAACCGCUAUUAUUGGGUCUAAAGGGUCUG
rnacentral:rRNA from 1 species